UACGUAGGGGGCAAGCGUUGUCCGGAUUUAUUGGGCGUAAAGAGCGUGUAGGCGGCCAGGUAGGUCUGCUGUGAAAACUCGAGGCUCAACCUCGAGAUGUCGGCGGAAACCAUCUGGCUAGAGUCCGGAAGAGGAGAGUGGAAUUCCUGGUGUAGCGGUGAAAUGCGCAGAUAUCAGGAGGAACACCGGUGGCGAAGGCGGGUCUCUGGGCCGAUAUUGACGCUGAGGAGCGAAAGCGUGGGGAGCGAACAGG
rnacentral:rRNA from 1 species